GACCGAGUGCGCGAGCGGACAUGACGUGUGGCUGUCGUAAAAACCCUAUUUGUAAACAACCAGCCCUUUAACUCGGGGCUGCGUCAUAAACACGGCGCGCUUGGAAGACCACGAUGUCAUCUUCCUUCUGUCAGGAGGAUCCAAGUGAAGCUACAGGAGUUUCAUUAACGUCAACAACUUGGACCGAACGGUUUGUUUUGCUUGAUGAAGAGCAGGAAGGGCAGCCUGGAGAGAAAGAGAAGCCGGGUUGAGCCCACUACCAUCAUCCACGUACCACGAGGAAGAUGAGGGAGAGAAAUGAUCCUACCAUUAAAGAGACUGUGAAAAGAACGUUGAGAACAUCACCACUCUACAGGAAGACACAGUCCAGUAAUGGGUGUCAGAAGUUCAGUAGUGAACGACAGGUACUGUGGAAAAAUAUGUGUCAUUGUUGUACAAUGUCCUUUGACUCUGUUUAAACAAGGUUAACACAAAAAGGUUUGAUUGUAAACUGAUAUCGGUAUGAAUUCAUGUUAUUCUCCUCGUCAAAAGAAACAAACAAUCCAAAUUACCUGCAGAAAGCCCUUGAUGGACGCUUCAGCUGCAUCGUCAGACUGGAAGGACUGAUGCAUUUACUGAGACGGGUCGUGAGGGCCUACUCUGCGUGCUCAGAGUUCAAGCCCAGCAGGCUGCAGCGGGCCUGACAUAUUCUGGAGAAGCAGCACAGUCUUUGGAUGACUCCUCUGAAGAUGAAAACAUGGCGAGUUCUUCUCAAGAGAAGCAGUACAGGUGUGCCUCAGCUCCACGGUCCCUCCUGCAGCCUCCGGUCCUGAUGCUAACCUCAUGUCUCCAUCACACCAAGCAGCAGACCUGGAUUGAC